CCUACGGGAGGCAGCAGUGGGGAAUAUUGCAUAAUGGGCGCAAGCCUGAUGCAGCCAUGCCGCGUGUGUGAAGAAGGCCUUCGGGUUGUAAAGCACUUUCAGCGGGGAGGAAGGCGGUGAGGUUAAUAACCUCAUCGAUUGACGUUACCCGCAGAAGAAGCACCGGCUAACUCCGUGCCAGCAGCCGCGGUAAUACGGAGGGUGCAAGCGUUAAUCGGAAUUACUGGGCGUAAAGCGCACGCAGGCGGUCUGUCAAGUCGGAUGUGAAAUCCCCGGGCUCAACCUGGGAACUGCAUUCGAAACUGGCAGGCUAGAGUCUUGUAGAGGGGGGUAGAAUUCCAGGUGUAGCGGUGAAAUGCGUAGAGAUCUGGAGGAAUACCGGUGGCGAAGGCGGCCCCCUGGACAAAGACUGACGCUCAGGUGCGAAAGCGUGGGGAGCAAACAGGAUUAGAUACCCGAGUAGUC
rnacentral:rRNA from 1 species